CCGACACGCGGUACGGUCGGUGCGAUAUCGAUGACGGCAAGACGGAAGCCGGUGGGAAGCCGGCACGGUCGCGCCACUGUGAACGAGAGGCUCCAGCCCGCUGGACCUCUCGUGAGUCAGACCCGUAGCCGUCGUCCAGUGCACCACC
rnacentral:ncRNA from 17 species